GGGUGAGUAACACGUGGGUAACCUGCCUGUAAGACUGGGAUAACUCCGGGAAACCGGAGCUAAUACCGGAUAGUUCCUUGAACCGCAUGGUUCAAGGAUGAAAGACGGUUUCGGCUGUCACUUACAGAUGGACCCGCGGCGCAUUAGCUAGUUGGUGAGGUAACGGCUCACCAAGGCGACGAUGCGUAGCCGACCUGAGAGGGUGAUCGGCCACACUGGGACUGAGACACGGCCCAGACUCCUACGGGAGGCAGCAGUAGGGAAUCUUCCGCAAUGGACGAAAGUCUGACGGAGCAACGCCGCGUGAGUGAUGAAGGUUUUCGGAUCGUAAAGCUCUGUUGUUAGGGAAGAACAAGUGCAAGAGUAACUGCUUGCACCUUGACGGUACCUAACCAGAAAGCCACGGCUAACUACGUGCCAGCAGCCGCGGUAAUACGUAGGUGGCAAGCGUUGUCCGGAAUUAUUGGGCGUAAAGGGCUCGCAGGCGGUUUCUUAAGUCUGAUGUGAAAGCCCCCGGCUCAACCGGGGAGGGUCAUUGGAAACUGGGAAACUUGAGUGCAUAAGAGGAGAGUGGAAUUCCACGUGUAGCGGUGAAAUGCGUAGAGAUGUGAGAGGAACACCAGUGGCGAAGGCGACUCUCUGGUCUGUAACUGACGCUGAGGAGCGAAAGCGUGGGGAGCGAACAGGAUUAGAUACCCUGGUAGUCCACGCCGUAAAACGAUGAGUGCUAAGUGUUAGAGGGGUUUCCGCCCCUUAGUGCUGCAGCUAACGCAUUAAGCACUCCGCCUGGGG
rnacentral:rRNA from 1 species